rnacentral:rRNA from 1 species
GAGCGAGAAAAGGGGGGCAACUCCCUGAGUACAGCGGCGCACGGGUGAGUAACACGUGGGUAAUCUGCCCUGAAGUGGGGAAUAACACCGGGAAACCGGUGCUAAUACCGCAUACGAUCACGAUGUCUGCGGAUGUUGUGAUGAAAGGAGCAAUUCGCUUCAGGAGGAGCCCGCGGCUGAUUAGCUAGUUGGUGAGGUAACGGCUCACCAAGGCAACGAUCAGUAUCCGGUCUGAGAGGACGGUCGGACACACUGGAACUGAGACACGGUCCAGACUCCUACGGGAGGCAGCAGUGGGGAAUUUUUCGCAAUGGGGGCAACCCUGACGAAGCAACGCCGCGUGGGUGAUGAAGUCUCUUGGGACGUAAAACCCUUUCGACGGGGACGAAACCGCAAGGUUGACGGUACCCGUAGAAGAAGCCCCGGCUAACUCCGUG